rnacentral:rRNA from 1 species
AGAGUUUGAUCCUGGCUCAGGAUGAACGCUAGCUACAGGCUUAACACAUGCAAGUCGAGGGGAAACGAUAUUGGAAGCUUGCUUCCGAUAGGCGUCGACCGGCGCACGGGUGAGUAACGCGUAUCCAACCUGCCCACCACUUGGGGAUAACCUUGCGAAAGUAAGACUAAUACCCAAUGAUAUCUCUAGAAGACAUCUGAAAGAGAUUAAAGAUUUAUCGGUGAUGGAUGGGGGAUGCGUCUGAUUAGCUUGUUGGCGGGUAACGGCUACCAAGGCAACGAUCAGUAGCCGGUCUGAGAGGAUGAACGGCCACAUUGGAACUGAGACACGGUCCAAACUCCUACGGGAGGCA